UGGCUUAAAAAUGGGCGCAGAGUCAGCCAAUCAAGGGCGGGAAAACUCGGAGGGUUGAAAAUGGGGCGCAUGCGCAAUAGCAGAAGCAAUGGGCGGGUCCAGGAACAGCCGCUAGCCAGGCUGCACCCGGCUGUGGCAGCCACGGGCAGGGGCGGAGCUCGCCCUAGAUGGGAGCUGCUUGGGGACAAACUGUGUAGGGUGCGCUCUCGGGCGGGUGGGGCUUCAACACCCAACCAGCUGUAGAGUCGCUGCGUGCGACAACCAAGAACAGCAGCCUACACGUGUUCACAGUCCUCUGAUUCCAACACCACGUUGGGAUUUGACACAACCGACCAAGUGCUGCGGCCCACGGAACACAAACAGCAGGCCUGCGGAUUUUAAACUAGAAGCAGCGAGGUUUCUCGCCAGAGAAAUGACUGAACUCCUUGAUUAAUUUACUCUCUGCACCUGGGAGGGGGGAGAACAUGAACAGGAAGGUUUUAAGAGGC
rnacentral:lncRNA from 1 species